AGGUUGGGAAGUUAUGAUCAAAGCAUCAGUAGAUUCAGUGUCUGGUGAGGACCCACUUACUCAUUCAUAAACUGGUGAUUGGAUGAAAUUAAAGUUUGAAAUUAAAGACCAGUAGAUUCCAAAGGAGACUGAAAUAAUAUCUUCGGAAAUUCAAGUGUGAUGUAACAGUAUACUAGAGAGGAAGACGUGGAAAUUCAACAAUAUCACACAAGAGAGUUGAAGAAUCAGAGGUGGUGGUUUGGCACCUCCUAUGACACACAGAUCCCAGGUCGUUUUGCCACAAAGCUUUACUUCAAAACAUCUGCCUGCUUUUGCCCAGCCUUUGUGUUGUCCAGAUGGAGGAGGUGAACCUGCAGGAGCGAGGCCUUUGUUUGCUUGCAAGUGGAAUGUUUCCUAAGGGAAUGAAUGGUGUAUCCUUC